CCUACGGGACGCAGCAGUGGGGAAUAUUGCACAAUGGGGGGAACCCUGAUGCAGCGACGCCGCGUGAGUGAAGAAGUAUUUCGGUAUGUAAAGCUCUAUCAGCAGGGAAGAAAAUGACGGUACCUGACUAAGAAGCCCCGGCUAACUACGUGCCAGCAGCCGCGGUAAUACGUAGGGGGCAAGCGUUAUCCGGAUUUACUGGGUGUAAAGGGAGCGCAGACGGACAGUCAAGUCAGCGGUAAAAAUGCGGUGCUCAACGCCGUACAGCCGUUGAAACUGGCAGUCUUGAGUGGGCGAGAAGUAUG
rnacentral:rRNA from 1 species